rnacentral:rRNA from 1 species
AUUGAACGCUGGCGGCAGGCCUAACACAUGCGAGUCGAGCGGAUGAAGGGAGCUUGCUCCUGGAUUCAGCGGCGGACGGGUGAGUAAUGCCUAGGAAUCUGCCUGGCAGUGGGGGAUAACGUCCGGAAACGGGCGCUAAUACCGCAUACGUCCUGAGGGAGAAAGUGGGGGAUCUUCGGACCUCACGCUAUCAGAUGAGCCUAGGUCGGAUUAGCUAGUUGGUGGGGUAAAGGCCUACCAAGGCGACGAUCCGUAACUGGUCUGAGAGGAUGAUCAGUCACACUGGAACUGAGACACGGUCCAGACUCCUACGGGAGGCAGCAGUGGGGAAUAUUGGACAAUGGGCGAAAGCCUGAUCCAGCCAUGCCGCGUGUGUGAAGAAGGUCUUCGGAUUGUAAAGCACUUUAAGUUGGGAGGAAGGGCAGUAAGUUAAUACCUUGCUGUUUUGACGUUACCAACAGAAUAAGCACCGGCUAACUUCGUG